AGUUGACAGCCAAGUUGUUGACAAUGUGCUUCUACGGUGAAAUUGUUCUCUCUUUGUCCUUAUUGGUGUCGCAGGGGAAAAGAAAGUAUUUCAACGGAGUGCAUGGGACGUGAUGCAGCUCAACACAGAUUGUAAUGGAGGACGAUGCUAAGGAGAGGAUGAUGGAACAUGCUGACAGUCACGGUGUGCGGCCUCACCAUGGAAAAUUACAUUGAAAGUGCUGCAGUGAAUGGGCCAUGCUAACCUCCCAGCUCGCCACAGCGAUGUACAGCUAUAUCACAGAGGAACAACUAAGACCAUACUCUUCAGCUGCAUAACUGUGUGGGAAGCUGCUCAAGCUACAAGUGCCUUUGAGGCUCCACUCCCCCCUGCAAGACAUACCCCCUGCUUCAUCUUUAAAGGACUGACGGUUGGCAGUGAUGCAUGCUGCUCAGCCUUCUGCCCUCCGUGUAGAGGCACAGGAACGUGUGCACCAGACUCACCAGCUUCAUCUGUCAGGAUGCUGAAUUGCCACUCCUAGCCACAUCAGCCACUGCUCAACUCCCAAACUUGACUCUGACUCGCCAUACCUGGAAAUGCACAAUAUCAGAACUCUCCUGCCAGGAUCCUGAAACAGCACAGCUGAAACUGGCAGCACAUCACCCCCGUACCCUGACAGCUAGAGUAGAGUAGAGUAGAGUAGAGUAGAGUAGAGUAGAGUAAAGUAAAGUAGAGCACCUUUAUUAA